AUUGAACGCUGGCGGCAUGCCUUACACAUGCAAGUCGAACGGUAACAGGGAGCUUGCUCCGCUGACGAGUGGCGAACGGGUGAGUAAUGUAUCGGAACGUACCAUAGAGUGGGGGAUAACUAUCCGAAAGGAUAGCUAAUACCGCAUAUUCUCUCCGGAGGAAAGCAGGGGACCGCAAGGCCUUGCGCUCUUUGAGCGGCCGAUAUCAGAUUAGCUAGUUGGUGAGGUAAAGGCUCACCAAGGCGACGAUCUGUAGCGGGUCUGAGAGGAUGAUCCGCUACACUGGAACUGAGACACGGUCCAGACUCCUACGGGAGGCAGCAGUGGGGAAUUUUGGACAAUGGGGGCAACCCUGAUCCAGCCAUGCCGCGUGAGUGAAGAAGGCCUCGGUUGUAAGACUCUUCGUCCGGGACGGAAUACGUAUGGUUAAGUACCUCGUGCGGAGUGACGGUACCGGCGAUAAGAAGACACCGGCGUAACUAACGUGCCAGCAGCCG
rnacentral:rRNA from 1 species